rnacentral:lncRNA from 1 species
GGAGUUAGCGACAGGGAGGGAUGCGCGCCUGGGUGUAGUUGUGGGGGAGGAAGUGGCUAGCUCAGGGCUUCAGGGGACAGACAGGGAGAGAUGACUGAGUUAGAUGAGACGAGGGGGCGGGCUGGGGGUGCGAGAAGGAAGCUUGGCAAGGAGACUAGGUCUAGGGGGACCACAGUGGGGCAGGCUGCAUGGAAAAUAUCCGCAGGGUCCCCCAGGCAGAACAGCCACGCUCCAGGCCAGGCUGUCCCUACUGCCUGGUGGAGGGGGAACUUGACCUCUGGGAGGGCGCCGCUCUUGCAUAGCUGAGCGAGCCCGGGUGCGCUGGUCUGUGUGGAAGGAGGAAGGCAGGGAGAGGUAGAAGGGGUGGAGGAGUCAGGAGGAAUAGGCCGCAGCAGCCCUGGAAAUGAUCAGGAAGGCAGGCAGUGGGUGCAGGGCUGCAGGAGGGCCGGGAGGGCUAAUCUUCAACUUGUCCAUGCCAGCAGCCCCUUUUUUUCCAGACCAAGGGCUGUGAACCCGCCUGGGGAUGAGGCCUGGUCUUGUGGAACUGAACUUAGCUCGACGGGGCUGACCGCUCUGGCCCAGGGUGGUAUGUAAUUUUCGCUCGGCCUGGGACGGGGCCCAGGCCGGGCCCAGCCUGGUGGAGCGUCCAGGUCUGGGUGCGAAGCCAGGCCCCUGGGCGGAGGUGAGGGGUGGUCUGAGGAGUGAUGUGGAGUUAAGGCGCCAUCCUCACCGGUGACUGGUGCGGCACCUAGCAUGUUUGACAGGCGGGGACUGCGAGGCACGCUGCUCGGGUGUUGGGGACAACAUUGACCAACGCUUUAUUUUCCAGGUGGCAGUGCUCCUUUUGGACUUUUCUCUAGGUUUGGCGCUAAACUCUUCUUGUGAGCUCACUCCACCCCUUCUUCCUCCCUUUAACUUAUCCAUUCACUUAAAACAUUACCUGGUCAUCUGGUAAGCCCGGGACAGUAAGCCGAGUGGCUGUUGGAGUCGGUAUUGUUGGUAAUGGUGGAGGAAGAGAGGCCUUCCCGCUGAGGCUGGGGUGGGGCGGAUCGGUGUUGCUUGCCUGCAGAGAGGGUGGGGAGUGAAUGUGCACCCUUGGGUGGGCCUGCAGCCAUCCAGCUGAAAGUUACAAAAAUGCUUCAUGGACCGUGGUUUGUUACUAUAGUGUUCCUCAUGGCGAGCAGAUGGAACCGGGAGACAUGGAGUCCCUGGCCAGUGUGAGUCCUAGCAUUGCAGGAGGGGAGACCCUGGAGGAGAGAGCCCGCCUCAAUUGAUGCCUGCAGAUUGAAUUUCCAGAGGCUUAGGAGGAGGAAGUUCUCCAAUGUUCUGUUUCCAGGCCUUGCUCAGGAAGCCCUGUAUUCAGGAGGCUACCAUUUAAAGUUUGCAGAUGAGCUUAUGGGGGGCAAUCUUAAAAAGUCCACAGCAGAUGCAUCCGGCUCGAGGGGCCAUCAGCUUUGAAUAAAUGCUUGUUCCAGAGCCCAUGAAUGCCAGCAGGCACCCCUCCUUUCCUGGGGUAAAGGUUUUCAGAUGCUGCAUCUUCUAAAUUGAGCCUCCGGUCAUACUAGUUUUGUGCUUGGAACCUUGCUUCAAGAAGAUCCCUAAGCUGUAGAACAUUUUAACGUUGAUGCCACAACGCAGAUUGAUGCCUUGUAGAUGGAGCUUGCAGAUGGAGCCCCGUGACCUCUCACCUACCCACCUGUUUGCCUGCCUUCUUGUGCGUUUCUCGGAGAAGUUCUUAGCCUGAUGAAAUAACUUGGGGCGUUGAAGAGCUGUUUAAUUUUAAAUGCCUUAGACUGGGGAUAUAUUAGAGGAAGCAGAUUGUCAAAUUAAGGGUGUCAUUGUGUUGUGCUAAACGCUGGGAGGGUACAAGUUGGUCAUUCCUAAAUCUGUGUGUGAGAAAUGGCAGGUCUAGUUUGGGCAUUGUGAUUGCAUUGCAGAUUACUAGGAGAAGGGAAUGGUGGGUACACCGGUAGUGCUCUUUUGUUCUUGCUUCGUUUUUUUAAACUUGAACUUUACUUCGUUAGAUUUCAUAAUACUUUCUUGGCAUUCUAGUAAGAGGACCCUGAGGUGGGAGUUGUGGGGGACGGGGAGAAGGGGACAGCUUGGCACCGGUCCCGUGGGCGUUGCAGUGUGGGGGAUGGGGGUAUGCAGCUUGGCACUGGUACUGGGAGGGAUGAGGGUGAAGAAGGGGAGAGGGUUGGUUAGAGAUACAGUGUGGGUGGUGGGGGUGGUAGGAAAUGCAGGUUGAAGGGAAUUCUCUGGGGCUUUGGGGAAUUUAGUGCGUGGGUGAGCCAAGAAAAUACUAAUUAAUAAUAGUAAGUUGUUAGUGUUGGUUAAGUUGUUGCUUGGAAGUGAGAAGUUGCUUAGAAACUUUCCAAAGUGCUUAGAACUUUAAGUGCAAACAGACAAACUAACAAACAAAAAUUGUUUUGCUUUGCUACAAGGUGGGGAAGACUGAAGAAGUGUUAACUGAAAACAGGUGACACAGAGUCACCAGUUUUCCGAGAACCAAAGGGAGGGGUGUGUGAUGCCAUCUCACAGGCAGGGGAAAUGUCUUUACCAGCUUCCUCCUGGUGGCCAAGACAGCCUGUUUCAGAGGGUUGUUUUGUUUGGGGUGUGGGUGUUAUCAAGUGAAUUAGUCACUUGAAAGAUGGGCGUCAGACUUGCAUACGCAGCAGAUCAGCAUCCUUCGCUGCCCCUUAGCAACUUAGGUGGUUGAUUUGAAACUGUGAAGGUGUGAUUUUUUCAGGAGCUGGAAGUCUUAGAAAAGCCUUGUAAAUGCCUAUAUUGUGGGCUUUUAACGUAUUUAAGGGACCACUUAAGACGAGAUUAGAUGGGCUCUUCUGGAUUUGUUCCUCAUUUGUCACAGGUGUCUUGUGAUUGAAAAUCAUGAGCGAAGUGAAAUUGCAUUGAAUUUCAAGGGAAUUUAGUAUGUAAAUCGUGCCUUAGAAACACAUCUGUUGUCUUUUCUGUGUUUGGUCGAUAUUAAUAAUGGCAAAAUUUUUGCCUAUCUAGUAUCUUCAAAUUGUAGUCUUUGUAACAACCAAAUAACCUUUUGUGGUCACUGUAAAAUUAAUAUUUGGUAGACAGAAUCCAUGUACCUUUGCUAAGGUUAGAAUGAAUAAUUUAUUGUAUUUUUAAUUUGAAUGUUUGUGCUUUUUAAAUGAGCCAAGACUAGAGGGGAAACUAUCACCUAAAAUCAGUUUGGAAAACAAGACCUAAAAAGGGAAGGGGAUGGGGAUUGUGGGGAGAGAGUGGGCGAGGUGCCUUUACUACAUGUGUGAUCUGAAAACCCUGCUUGGUUCUGAGCUGCGUCUAUUGAAUUGGUAAAGUAAUACCAAUGGCUUUUUAUCAUUUCCUUCUUCCCUUUAAGUUUCACUUGAAAUUUUAAAAAUCAUGGUUAUUUUUAUCGUUGGGAUCUUUCUGUCUUCUGGGUUCCAUUUUUUAAAUGUUUAAAAAUAUGUUGACAUGGUAGUUCAGUUCUUAACCAAUGACUUGGGGAUGAUGCAAACAAUUACUGUCGUUGGGAUUUAGAGUGUAUUAGUCACGCAUGUAUGGGGAAGUAGUCUCGGGUAUGCUGUUGUGAAAUUGAAACUGUAAAAGUAGAUGGUUGAAAG